rnacentral:rRNA from 1 species
GGACAACGUGCCCUAAAGUGGGGGAUAAUCAGGGGAAACUCUGGAUAAUACCCCAUAGAUCAUGAGAUCUGGAAUGACUUAUGGUUCAAAGUUCCGGCGCUUUAGGAUCGGUCUGCGGCCUAUCAGGUAGUAGUGGGUGUAAUGUACCCCCUAGCCUAUUACGGGUAUGGGCCUUGAGAGAGGGAGCCCAGAGUUGGAUUCUGAGACACGAAUCCAGGCCCUACGGGGCGCAGCAGUCGCGAAAACUUCACAAUGGGCGAAAGCCCGAUGAGGGAAUUCCUAGUGCUAGCACUUUUGUGUUAGCUUUUCUUUAGCGUAGAUAACUAGAGGAAUAAGGGCUGGGUAAGACGGGUGCCAGCCGCCGCGGUAAUACCCGCAGCCCGAGUGGUGGUCGAUUUUAUUGAGUCUAAAACGUUCGUAGCCGGUCUGAUAGAUCCUUGGGUAAAUCGGGGGGCUUAACCUUCCGAAUUCCGAGGAGACCGUCAGGCUUGGGAUCGGGAGAGGUAAGAGGUACUUCAGGGGUAGGGGUAAAAUCCUGUAAUCCUUGGAGGACCACCGGUGGCGAAGGCGUCUUACUAGAACGGAUCCGACGGUGAGGGACGAAGCCCUGGGUCGCAAACGGGAUUAGAUACCCCGGUAGUCCAGGGUGUAAACGCUGCCGACUUGGUGUUGGAGGCCCUUCGGGGGCAUUCAGUGCCGGAGAGAAGUUGUUAAGUCGGCCACUUGGGGAGUACGUCCGCAAGGAUGAAACUUAA